UACGGGGGGGGCAAGCGUUGUUCGGAAUUACUGGGCGUAAAGGGCUCGUAGGCGGCCAACUAAGUCGGACGUGAAAUCCCCAGGCUCAACCUGGGAACUGCGUCCGAUACUGGAUGGCUUGAAUUCGGGAGAGGGAUGCAGAAUUCCAGGUGUAGCGGUGAAAUGCGUAGAUAUCUGGAGGAAUACCGGUGGCGAAGGCGGCAUCCUGGACCGACAUUGACGCUGAGGAACGAAAGCUAGGGGAGCAAACGGG
rnacentral:rRNA from 1 species